GGCGUGCUUACACAUGCAGUCGAACGCUGAAGCCCAGCUUGCUGGUGUGGAUGAGUGGCGAACGGGUGAGUAAUACGUGAGUAACCUGCCCUUGACUCUGGGAUAAGCCCGGGAAACUGGGUCUAAUACUGGAUGCUACAUGUCACCGCAUGGUGGUGUGUGGAAAGGGUUUACUGGUCUUGGAUGGGCUCACGGCCUAUCAGCUUGUUGGUGAGGUAAUGGCUCACCAAGGCGACGACGGGUAGCCGGCCUGAGAGGGUGACCGGCCACACUGGGACUGAGACACGGCCCAGACUCCUACGGGAGGCAGCAGUGGGGAAUAUUGCACAAUGGGCGAAAGCCUGAUGCAGCGACGCCGCGUGAGGGAUGACGGCCUUCGGGUUGUAAACCUCUUUCAGCAGGGAAGAAGCCACAAGUGACGGUACCUGCAGAAGAAGCGCCGGCUAACUACGUGCCAGCAGCCGCGGUAAU
rnacentral:rRNA from 1 species